UGUGCAGUAGUUAUACAGCUUCUCCAUGACUAUUAAAGACUAUUGUACUGCAUUCACAAGUCUAACAGUUUACUCCGAUCUCAUCGUGUGGCCAUUGCAUUACCAAAACUUUGCCAUGAUCGGUUCAAAGGGUGUUACCCGGGCCGGAAGUCAGUAUUACACAUCAAAAUCUCAAAAAGCAAUGUUCAGUUGAUGAAAAAGACACACAAAGUUACGUAUUAUCAUUUCAGUUAAUCAAAAAUUAAACAUAAGAAAUGAAGUUUUUAUUGUAGAAAUUUAUUUUUUAUUUCACUGCAAGGAAAAAAUUGUACUCAUUGUCUGUCAUGUGACCGUAACAUCAGUCACGUGACUAUCACGUGACCUUGUGUUAGUGUUGUGAUUUGGCUGUGUACAUUAUGAUAUGCCAAUAAACAGUUAAUAAUG
rnacentral:sRNA from 1 species